CCUACGGGUGGCAGCAGUGGGGAAUAUUGGUCAAUGGCGGAAACUCUGAACCAGCAACGCCGCGUGAAUGAUGAAGGUCUUCGGAUUGUAAAGUUCUUUUUUAAGGGAAGAAGAAAGUGACGGUACCUUAGGAAUAAGCGUCGGCUAACUACGUGCCAGCAGCCGCGGUAAUACGUAGGCGGCGAGCGUUCACCGGAAUGACUGGGUGUAAAGGGUGCGUAGGUGGGUUGGCAAGUUAGUAGCGUAACUCCAAGGCUCAACCUUGGAACUGCUACUAAAACUGUUGGACUUGAGUGCAGGAGAGGCAUGCGGAAUGCCUGGUGUAGCGGUGAAAUGCGUAGAUAUUAGGAGGAACACCAGUGGCGAAGGCGGCUUGCUAGACUGUAACUGACGCUGAUGCACGAAAGCGUGGGGAGCAAACAGGAUUAGAUACCCUAGUAGUC
rnacentral:rRNA from 1 species